rnacentral:tRNA from 1 species
GGUGGGUUGGCUCAGUGGUUAGAGCGUUGGUCUCGUAACCGAAAGGUUGCGGGAUCGAAUCCCGCUAGAGGCUG